rnacentral:rRNA from 1 species
UACCAGCACCCCGAGUGGUCGGGACGAUUAUUGGGCCUAAAGCAUGCGUAGCCGGCUUUACAAGUCCCCCGUUAAAUCCAACUGCUUAACAGAUGGGCUGCGGAGGAUACUAUAAGACUAGGAGGCAGGAGAGGCAAGCGGUACUCAGUGGGUAGGGGUAAAAUCCGUUGAUCCAUUGAAGACCACCAGUGGCGAAGGCGGCUUGCCAGAAUGCGCUCGACGGUGAGGGAUGAAAGCUGGGGGAGCAAACCGG